rnacentral:rRNA from 1 species
GUAAGCGUGCGCAGGCGGUUUGUAAGACUGUCGUGAAAUCCCCGGGCUCAACCUGGGAAUGGCGAUGGUGACUGCAAGGCUAGAGUUUGGCAGAGGGGGGUAGAAUUCCACGUGUAGCAGUGAAAUGCGUAGAUAUGUGGAGGAACACCGAUGGCGAAGGCAGCCCCCUGGGUCAAAACUGACGCUCAUGCACGAAAGCGUGGGGAGCAAACAGGAUUAGAUACCCUUGU